ACAAGGUUUUGUGUUUUUACUAAUUUUGACAUUUGUGUUAUCUUCUUUGAAUUGUAGACAGUGGACAAUGAUCUUGCAUUAAAAAUUUACAUAAAAGCUAGAGCCACCCCUAAAGUUGUUGCAGCUUUUGCUGAAAGAAGGGAGUUUGAUAAAAUUCUGAUUUACUCCAAGCAGGUUGGGUAUUCACCUGAUUAUCUCUUCCUUCUGCAAAGAAUUCUUCGAUCAGAUCCUCAGGGUGCUGUAAAUUUUGCUUUAAUGAUGUCCCAAAUGGAAGGAGGUUGUCCUGUUGAUUACAACACCAUUACAGAUCUUUUCCUUCAG